rnacentral:rRNA from 1 species
GGUAACCUACGGGGGGCAGCAGUAGGGAAUUUUCGUCAAUGGGCGCAAGCCUGAACGAGCGAUGCCGCGUGAGUGAAGAAGGCCUUCGGGUCGUAAAGCUCUGUUGCGGGGGAAAAAAGGCAGCAUCAGGAAAUGGGUGCUGACUGAUGGUGCCCCGCCAGAAAGUCACGGCUAACUACGUGCCAGCAGCCGCGGUAAUACGUAGGUGGCGAGCGUUAUCCGGAAUGAUUGGGCGUAAAGGGCGCGCAGGCGGUCCGGCAAGUCUGGCGUGAAACUCAUGAGCUCGACUCAGUCAUGGCUUUGGA